CACUGUAGCGCCGGAGGCUCGGCAUGCAUGUAGUUGCACCACCAUGUUCCCAGCUUACCGUGGUUUUCCUCCCUGCAGCCAUUGCCUAGGUCAUAGGGGGUGGCACAGAAGAUUGUACCAUCGGCGUUCCAGAGAAGCUCUUUCCAUCGGCCAGAUUCGUUUGUCCGGUUUGGCUACAGGCUAGAGGAAUCUAUUCCACAAAACUUAAAUUGGUUACAGGCGUAGGUGUUGUAGUUAAUGACAAAAAGGGAGGAAGACGUGAGGAAUCAUAUCGGUGUUGGAUUCGCUAGAUGUAAGCAACUGUAUGAGCCAAGGAGGACCUGCCAGGAUGUUUGCGUGGGUGUGGCUGACGGUUGGGUCGUCGUACCAGUAGUCGUUCUUGCUCCCUGGAGGUUACUGUCUACGCCAAUUAGGAGAAACUCCCACUGGUGGCCUCCAUUCGCUGACACAGCGGUACAUGGUUGUGUACUCUUCUUCCUGAUUGAUGUGCUGUUAGGUCUUUUGAAAGAUUGAAGGCAACAUGGAGUUGCUCUUUUAGUGAAAUAAUAUAGUUUUCACUUUUUUGGUGGUGCAGGCUGAAGCUAUGACAUGUAUGGUUGGUGUAACAUGUCUGAACUCUAAAUGAUGGGUGUCCUUGGUUUUUAUUGUUCAAUAUAGAGCUUUAUCAAACGAAGGAUAACUCUUGAAAGUUGUAUUUAGCAUGAUAUCACCGGAACAAUGAAUUUAUACACUGCUGAAUAAUGGAUAUGACAUAUGACUUCUACUAUGUAAAUACAUUUCUAAACAAGCCAAUAUUUUUCUUGCAACUAGCUCUAACUUUAGCUUUUUGCAGUUUACGAUAAUACAUCUGCACAUUGUUUAAUUGUAGUUUCAUCUACUGCUUUUGUGGAAACAUGAAAGCGAUCAGUGGUAAAUAUUUUUAGAUUAUCCAAGAAAUCUAGGGAUAUGAAUUUUGUUACUUUCUGCAAAUUGUUGCAGUGCUCAAGGAGAUAAAUUAAACUUCUGUUUCGUUGAUUAGUUGCCACAGUUUUUCCUAUUUUUGCUGAUAGAAUUGAUAAGCUUUUAGAUUGGUGACACAAACUAUUCUUUGUUUUUCUUUACAUUUGACCUGAUAAAAAUCAGAAAGAUCAACAAUGGUGUGAUUAUGUUUGAUUUCCAAACAAAAAAUCCUAAAAUGGUGAGAUUUAGUAAAAAGGUGGAACUUCAAAGCUCUCCUUUUUAUUGCUGUAUUUUCUUAAGUAAAUCAUAAAAUAAGACAAGACACAACAAAACUGUUGUGCCGAAUGAGCACUAAAGAGCAGCCUUAACUUAAAGCCUCUCUAUUCCGUAUACGGAUUUUAGAUAUAACCUUACAGUGUGAAUUACAGAAUGUUGCCACAGUCUACUGCUUGACUCAAAUGUCUGAUGUGCCACAGUCUGCUGACUUUUGAUGGACACAUGAAAUGGCCUGAUUUAGAAAGUUCAGCAUCAAUAUGAUUAUUCGGUCCAAGGACGUGUUCAGGCACUUAGCCAAACUUAUUUGCAGCUGGUGGUGGUAAUUACUCGGUUCAGAAGCUGAAUACAAGACCUCGUGAGCUAAAGUCAGUUGAUGCAUUUAGUUUAAAUAGAAGAGGAAGCAACGAGCAGAGGGCAUGCUGACCAGGAACCUGAUGCGCCGCUGCUCUCGCGACGGUCACCUCCGUCCCCAAUGUAUGCCCCCGUAUAGGGGAUUCUCAC